GAUGAACGCUAGCGAUAGGCCUAACACAUGCAAGUCGAGGGGCAUCACAUGAAGUAGCAAUACGGAUGGUGGCGACCGGCGCACGGGUGAGUAACACGUAUGCAACCUGCCUUCAACAAGGGGAUAACCCGUUGAAAGACGGACUAAUACCCUAUAACACAGGGGUCCCGCAUGGGAAUAUUUGUUAAAGGACAACCGGUUGAAGAUGGGCAUGCGUUCCAUUAGCUAGUUGGCGGGGUAAGGCCCACCAAGGCAACGAUGGAUAGGGGAACUGAGAGGUUUAUCCCCCACACUGGUACUGAGACACGGACCAGACUCCUACGGGAGGCAGCAGUGAGGAAUAUUGGUCAAUGGACGCAAGUCUGAACCAGCCACGUCGCGUGAAGGAAGACGGCCCUACGGGUUGUAAACUUCUUUUGCAAGGGAUAAAGUGGGCCACGUGUGGCCUUUUGCAAGUACCUUGCGAAUAAGGAUCGGCUAACUCCGUG
rnacentral:rRNA from 1 species